GUUUAUUAAAAACAUGGCCUAUUGAGUAUAAUUUUAGGUCUGGCCUGCCCAAUGAUAUAAUUGAGUAUUUAAUGGCCGCGGUAAUUUGACCGUGCAAAGGUAGCAUAAUCACUAGUUUUUUAAUUGAAAGCUUGUAUGAAAGGUUUGAUGAGAAAAUAGCUGUCUCUAUUUAAAUUUUUUAGAAAUUUAUUUUUAAGUAAAAAAGCUUAAAUAUUUAUAAAAGACGAGAAGACCCUAUAGAGUUUUAUAUCAAUAAAAGUAAAUGAAAAGUUUAGAAUUUUAUAGUUUAUUUUUAGUUUAUUUAGUUGGGGAGAUUGAAAAAUUUAAUAAACUUUUUUUUUAUAAUAUCAUUGAUUUAUGAAUAUUUGAUCCUUAGUUAAAGAUUAUAAGAUAAAAUUACCUUAGGGAUAACAGCGUAAUUUUUUUAAAAGUUCUUAUUAAAAAAAAAGAUUGCGACCUCGAUGUUGGAUUAAAAGAAAUUAUUGGUGUAGAAGCUAAUAAAUUAGGUCUGUUCGACCUUUAAAAUUUUACAUGAUCUGAGUUUAAACCGGCGUAAGCCAGGUCGGUUUCUAU
rnacentral:rRNA from 1 species